rnacentral:rRNA from 1 species
GAUGAACGCUGGCGGCGUGCCUAAUACAUGCAAGUCGAGCGAACAGACGAGGAGCUUGCUCCUCUGACGUUAGCGGCGGACGGGUGAGUAACACGUGGAUAACCUACCUAUAAGACUGGGAUAACUUCGGGAAACCGGAGCUAAUACCGGAUAAUAUAUUGAACCGCAUGGUUCAAUAGUGAAAGACGGUUUUGCUGUCACUUAUAGAUGGAUCCGCGCCGCAUUAGCUAGUUGGUAAGGUAACGGCUUACCAAGGCAACGAUGCGUAGCCGACCUGAGAGGGUGAUCGGCCACACUGGAACGGAGACACGGUCCAGACUCCUACGGGAGGCAGCAGUAGGGAAUCUUCCGCAAUGGGCGAAAGCCUGACGGAGUAACGCCGCGUGAGUGAUGAAGGUCUUCGGAUCGUAAAACUCUGUUAUUAGGGAAGAACAAAUGUGUAAGUAACUAUGCACGUCUUGACGGUACCUAAUCAGAAAGCCACGGCUAACUACGUG